GGCUCCAUAUAUCAGUUGUAACCUAUCGCCGUGUGAUACCCCCUCCUAUAGGGAUAUCUUCGGUAAUUCUGAAGCUAAUACAAGAAAGACGACCCCCGAUCGUGGGCAACCACGAGAAGGGACGCUGAGCGCCCUUAUUCGCAAACCGAUUACGGUUCGAAUGCAGGCUCAGCUCGACCGCGCAAGCGGCGACUGGCGACCGGCUUCUGACCUAUCAACUUGAUGCAGGCGUAAAGCACAAACAUGGUAACAACGGGUACAGAGGAUAAGGGUUUGAU
rnacentral:rRNA from 1 species